AGCUUUACAUGGUGUCAUUAUCAGCCAAUGAGGUUUAUGUUAGCCGCGAUUAUUGCUAAUUGAAAACUUUUCCCAAUACCCUGCCAUGACAACUGGAAAUGUAGUCAGCAUUGUCAAUUAUUGGCAGUCUCUACAGGGA